AUUUAAAACACCAAGUCGGCCAGACCCCAGCAAAGGGAAGGAUCCACAGAACAACGAAGCACCAAAAAAGAAGGUUACUCUUUCUAGCUUCGAUAGUAGUGAGACAGAAAGCAAGAAAAGCAAGGGAAAAAUGGAUGAUGGCGGCAUUGCAAUGGAUUCCAAGGCCACCAAAUGAGCUCCACAUGCUGCAUGCUUAAACUGUAGCUGAUGCAUAAUCUUAUAUUAGAGAAGUCAAUCUCUUCUAGCUAUCUUAGAAGUUAGCUCUCAAUAACAAGUAUGAGGUUGUUGUAUGUUGCUACUGUUUGCUUAUGUUUUAGUGGAGAAAGACAUAGGUCUUUCUGUGUGCGU
rnacentral:misc_RNA from 1 species